AGCUGGUCUGACAGUAGUGGGUUAUCAGAACUUAUUAACAUUAGCGUCCCUGAAGUUGGUAUACAACGCCCCACCGCUAAAUUGGACUGGCUUAAA
ensembl:Y_RNA Y_RNA Y RNA